rnacentral:rRNA from 1 species
GACGAACGCUGGCGGCGUGCUUAACACAUGCAAGUCGAACGGAAGGGCCCUGAGUUUGUGCGGUGCUGGAGUGGCGAACGCGGGAGUGACACGUGUGUAACCCGCCCUUGUCUUUCGGGGAACUUCAGGAAACUGGGGCUAAUACAGUAUAGGAGACCCUGCACCGUGGGGGGGGGUGGAGAGUUGCGGCGGUUGGGGAUGGACGCGCGGCUUAUCAGCUUGUUGGUGGGGUAGGUGAUGACCAAGGCUGAGACGGAUAGGCGGCCUGAGAGGGUGACCGGCCACACUGGGACUGAGAGAGGGCCCAGACUCCUACGGGAGGCAGCAGUGGGGAAUAUUGCACAAUGGGCGGACGCCGGAGGCAGAAACGCCGCGUGCGGGAUGACGUCCUUCGGGUUGUAAACAGCUGUCGGCUGUGACGAAGCGAGAGUGACGGUACCUGGUGAAGAAGCACCGGCUAACUACGUG